rnacentral:rRNA from 1 species
CCUACGGGGAGCAGCAGUAGGGAAUUUUCGGCAAUGGGGGGAACCCUGACCGAGCAACGCCGCGUGAACGAAGAAGUUAUUCGUAAUGUAAAGUUCUUUUAACAGGGAAGAAAGAGAAAUUUGACGGUACCUGACGAAUAAGCUCCGGCUAACUACGUGCCAGCAGCCGCGGUAAUAAGUAGGGAGCGAGCGUUAUCCGGAAUUAUUGGGCGAAAAGGGUGCGUAGAUGGCAUAGUAAGUCUUUUGUAAAAAUGCUGGGCUCAACCCAGUAGGGCAAAAGAUACUGCAAAGCUAGAGUAUGACAGAGGCAAGUGGAACUACAGGUGUAGCGGUAAAAUGCGUAAAUAUAUGUAAGAAAACCAGUGGCGAAGGCGGCUUGCUGGGUCGAGACUGACAUUGAGGCACGAAAGCGUGGGGAGCAAACAGGAUUAGAUACCCUUGUAGUC